GACGAACGCUGGCGGCGUGCUUAACACAUGCAAGUCGAACGGAAAGGCCCUGCUUUUGUGGGGUGCUCGAGUGGCGAACGGGUGAGUAACACGUGAGUAACCUGCCCUUGACUUUGGGAUAACUUCAGGAAACUGGGGCUAAUACCGGAUAGGAGCUCCUGCUGCAUGGUGGGGGUUGGAAAGUUUCGGCGGUUGGGGAUGGACUCGCGGCUUAUCAGCUUGUUGGUGGGGUAGUGGCUUACCAAGGCUUUGAUGGGUAGCCGGCCUGAGAGGGUGACCGGCCACAUUGGGACUGAGAUACGGCCCAGACUCCUACGGGAGGCAGCAGUGGGGAAUAUUGCACAAUGGGCGGAAGCCUGAUGCAGCAACGCCGCGUGCGGGAUGACGGCCUUCGGGUUGUAAACCGCUUUCGCCUGUGACGAAGCGUGAGUGACGGUAAUGGGUAAAGAAGCACCGGCGAACGACG
rnacentral:rRNA from 1 species